CCGACUGUUUAGAUGAAGACCAGCGUAAUGAGCUUGUCGGAUUUUCAGAGAGGUGGUGCAUGGCCGUCGUCAGUUCGUACUGUAAAGCGUUCUGUUAAGUCAGAUAACGAACGAGACCCUCAUCUCUAUUUGCUACCCGUCUCUCCGGAGGCGGCGCACUAUAGGGAGACCGCUGGUGUUAAACCAGAGGAAGGCGAGGGCAACGACAGGUCAGUAUGCCCCGAAUGUCCUGGGCUACACGCGCGCUACAAAGGACGGGACAAUGGGAAGCCAGGCCGAGAGGCCGAGCUAACCCGAAACCCGUUCAUAGUUCGGAUCGAGGGCUGUAACUCGCCCUCGUGAAGCUGGAUUCCGUAGUAAUCGUGUUUCAAUAUAGCACGGUGAAUAUGCCCCUGCUCCUUGCACACACCGCCCGUCAAACCAUC
rnacentral:rRNA from 1 species